AAUGAUACGGCCCAGCAUUUUUUUAAGUCAAAAUUAUUGUUACAAAACAAGACUCUUUGUCUACCGUUUUAUUCAGUUCCGUCUCCAAAACGCAAAUCUUAGCUAUCUUCAGAACCAGACCUCAAGCUCAGUGUACUUUCUUGUGAUUUUUCGGACUUCGUUUGUUGAAAUGGAAAUGAAUGGAAAUAAGAGAGAAGAGGAUGUGAAAAUGGAGGAAAGUAAAGAGACUGUUGUGUAUAUGUGGGGCUAUUUACCGGGAAUUUCGACAGAGAAAUCGCCGAUUCUCUCUCCGACUCCGGUCCGCUUACAUGGCGAUGAUGCGUGGAAGGAUGUCUGUGGAGGUGGCUGCGGAUUUUCUCUUGCCAUUUCAAAGUCUGGAAAGCUGAUAACAUGGGGAUCAACAGAUGAAGAAGGUCAAAGUUAUCUGACUUCAGGAAAGCAUGGGGUAAUGCAGUUAUUUCUGAUAUGCAAAUUAUUUAUUGUAUUUUGUAUAACAAUUGAUUUAGCGUCCUCUUUCUGCCGCCCCAUUGUCAAGGAAACGCCGGAACCUUUUCUUCUUCCAACUGAAGCUUCAGUAGUGCACGCUGCUGCUGGUUGGGCUCAUUGUGUUUCGGUUACAGAUACGGGUGAAGUAUACACAUGGGGUUGGAAAGAGUGUGUUCCCUCGGCAAAAGUAGCGCGUGAUUUAACUACUGGUGGAAGUUCUCAGAAGGAUGUUAUGGGGAAACAAAGUGGUUCUCUUACUGAGCAAGUUAGCCCAAAGUCCGAAGGUUCGAAUGUAAAUGGUGGGACACAAUCUCAAUUUGACAACAAAAGUGCUGGGGAAGAAGUUGCAAAACGAAGAAAGACAUCAUCUCCUAGAGAAGAAUCUGAAAGCUCAACAUGUGAUGAUUUUUUUACUGUAUCCCCUUCUGCUGUAACUCUUAAUCCUGGAGUGAAGAUCACAAUGGUUGCUGCUGGUGGGCGCCACACUUUAGUAUUAUCAGAUAUGGGACAGGUGUGGGGUUGGGGCUAUGGAGGCGAAGGACAGCUAGGUUUGGGUUCCCGGAUAAAAAUGGUGUCAACGCCUCAUCUCGUACCUUGCAUUGAGUCAGCUGCUUCUGCAAAAGAUAGAUCCUUAAUUGUUCGUCAGGGAAGUAUGAACCCAUCAGCACAAGUUUCCAAGGUCGCUGGAACUUAUGUAAAAGGAAUUGCUUGUGGAGGUCGGCAUAGUGCCCUAUUAACAGAUGCUGGAGCUCUACUUACAUUUGGCUGGGGACUAUAUGGACAGACUAUACCGAGGCUGUUGGAUGCUCCAAUCCUGGAAAGUAAGCGUGCAAAAGUUGUUUCUUGCGGGGCUCGUCAUAGCGCCAUGCUGACAGGUAGGAAUCCACAGCUGGUACUUCCAUCAGGCCUAUAAAACCAUUCUAAAGCCAUUUGGAUGGUUUGGAGGUUGAGAAUCACAGUACAUACACCAUACGACUUAGAGGAUUUGAAUUUUGGCAAGUUUGCUAUCAAUUAUUUGUCUUGCACGCUUGCUGUUAGCUGAGGAAGAUUUAAUAUAUUUUCUCUUGUGAAUGGUCUUUACUUGAGAAUUAACAUUUUUGUUUUCAGUGCAGUAAUGUUCCCACGACAUUUAUUCCUGUAGGCAUUUCUUUUUCUUGUUUUGUCUCACAUUUACCUGCCAAUAACUAAAAGAUGAAAUUCCCGGUGGUGACCUUUGAUAAUCAUCAGUCAUGUUAUGUAGGAUAGCCUUGUUUCUAGAAAUCAAUGAUUUGCAUGAUUGGCAUAGUUGACUUUAUGGAACAAGAAACUGGAUUAUGAAACAUCAUGACUGCCAUUUUCUAGUUUUGACAAUGCUCUUUUUCUGUUUGUAAUUAUUGAAGAGGACGGCCAAGUGCUUGGCUGGGGAUGGAACAAGUAUGGCCAGCUGGGUCUGGGUGAUUCAAUAGAUCGCAACAUCCCUUCUCUGGUACCCAUUGAUGGUUUUCUGCCGCAAAAUGUUGCAUGUGGUUGGUGGCACACACUAUUGCUG